rnacentral:rRNA from 1 species
GAUGAACGCUGGCGGCGUGCCUAAUACAUGCAAGUCGAGCGAACAGACGAGGAGCUUGCUCCUCUGACGUUAGCGGCGGACGGGUGAGUAACACGUGGAUAACCUACCUAUAAGACUGGGAUAACUUCGGGAAACCGGAGCUAAUACCGGAUAAUAUAUUGAACCGCAUGGUUCAAUAGUUAAAGACGGUUUUGCUGUCACUUAUAGAUGGAUCCGCGCCGCAUUAGCUAGUUGGUAAGGUAACGGCUUACCAAGGCAACGAUGCGUAGCCGACCUGAGAGGGUGAUCGGACACACUGGAACUGAGACACGGUCCAGACUCCUACGGGAGGCAGCAGUAGGGAAUCUUCCGCAAUGGGCGAAAGCCUGACGGAGCAACGCCGCGUGAGUGAUGAAGGUCUUCGGAUCGUAAAACUCUGUUAUUAGGGAAGAACAAAUGUGUAAGUAACUAUGCACGUCUUGACGGUACCUAAUCAGAAAGCCACGGCUAACUACGUG